UAUGUGUGGGUAUGCAUGUAUGUGUGUGGGCAUGUGUGGAGGCCAAAGGUCAACAUCAGCUGUGGUCCCUCCAUCAUCUUCACCUUACUUUUAAGACAGGGUUUAACUGAACCUGGAGCUUGCCAAGUCAGCUGGACUGGCUGACCACCAACCCAAGGGAUCCUCGUGUCUCAGCCUUCCAAGUACUGGGAUUACAUGCAUAUCAUCACAUCUGGCAUUUAAAGUUGGUCCUGGGGAUCCAAACGUGGGUCUUUUGUGGCAGGUGAUUUACCCACUGAGCCAUCUCACCAGGCCUGCACUGGAUAUUUUAAAAUCCUCACCAAGCAAAGCUGACAACAGGAGGGUAGAGAACCAGACACUGGCUGCUUGCUUUGGGGUUUCCAGCCCAGAUUUCUUUCUGUUGACAAAGAUUCCUGUGAAACCCAUCACCGAUUUCCAGUCCUAUGUUCUGGUCAUCUUCAUCUCCUGGUCCAAAUUGAUUGGAAUACAAUCAAUUUGAGGGCCAUAGGAAGUUGUCUGAGAGAGGGAGAGACCCGACGGAAUGUUGACUAUGGCGUGGUCACCCUAAAACAUGGUGUGUUUCACAUCAAGUCUCAGUUGGUAGCCUUAGUGAAUGCUGGCAAAAAAAAAAAAUAUGCACACAGAAACAAACCAUGGUAUCCAUGAGAUCCUGUGUGGGAUCACAUCCAUGGGACAUCAUCUCCCCGUCAUUGGUUACCGCCCUUCUGCUUUCUCGGAUAAAUUGCAUGAGGAAAAUGAGAGGAAUGAGGAGGAGAGAUGGUAGAAUUACCUCGUGAGUUCCACACACACAGCAGUUCUUGGCUGUUCUCACAAUAUGGAACAAUCCAGACCUUUGCAUCAUCUUUGGCAAACAAGAAUUUUUUUCAACCCAGAGUCCUGCAGCUUUCUGGCUAGCAGAUGUCAGAAUGGAGGCAAUCCUGGAGCCAACAAUUUUUAUCAUGCAGGAUCACUCCCACAUGUCUCCCCUGGCAACAGGCUUCGGAUUAGAAAGCUGAAUGAGGGCCUGAAAGGAGGACUUCUUGGGUAAAGUGCUUGAUGAGCAAACAUAAGUAGCAGAUUUCAGAUCCUCAGCAUCCACAAACUAGGUGCCUUUUGGUGGAGUACACUGACAGCCCUAGAACUGGGUAGGGCGGAGACAAGGAGAUACUGAGAGCUAACUGGCUAGCCAGUCUAGCUGAAAUGGCUCUGGGUUGGGUGAGAAACUCUAUCUCAUAAGGUAGAGAGCAAGAGAAGACAAAAUCCAAAAGUGAUCCCUGAGCUCCACAUGCAUGUGCACAGGUGAGCAAACAAGCACGAGCACACAUGUACACACACACACACACAUUGAUGCAUGCAUGCACAUACAACAACAGCUGGAUGAAGGCUCUUGUGUCUCAGACCUAUGACCACCAACAAAAAGACCCAGAUGUCUCUAAGAGAGCAAGAAAGGAGAGGAAAACCAGGCCCAGGAUGGGAGUAGCCUUUUGGGUACAGGAGUAACAAGAACAAUUGAGAAACCAGCUAGUUUAGUAAAGAAAAAAGAACCAAUCAUGGAUGACAGCUAGGAGGUAUGUGUCUGCCAGUAUACCAACUGGGCAUUAGUCAUCACGACAGACAGGGCUCUGUAGGAUGUACAACUAGAUGGGAUAGAAAAGGGACUGUGACUAAGAAAAAAUCCAUGUUGUUACCUCCAAAGAGCCUUGCGUGUCAAUCAUCUUCGUGUUGCUAUGACAAAGUACCUAGUAAAAAUAACUUAAAGGAAGAAAGAUUUAUUUUGCCUCAUGAUUUCAGAGGUUUUGGUCCAUGGUGGGUAGGAUCCAUCUUGGGGAACUUGUGGUGAAGCACAACAAGGGGGCAGACGGGUGUGGUAGAACAGCUGCUCACUGCCUGGUGGCCAUGAAGAAAGACAGCCAAGAGGCUGGAGGCAAUGUAUCCUUCCAUCACUUCCCCAGUGCCCUACUUCCUUGGCCUAGGCUUCAUUUCCUAGUUUCCACUAUCUCUCAAUCAUGCCAUCAGUGGACUAAUCCAUUGGUUAGGCCAGAGCCCUCAGGAGCCAGCGUCUUACCAGAAGCCCUGCCUCUGAACAUUGCGUUGAAGAUCAUGCCUUGACCAUAUGAGCCUUUGAAGAGAACACCCAUAUCCAUACUAUGACACCCGCUGUCUCAAUUUUCAAGGCCAAGCACACGCUGUCGGCUUUGUGUGUUUGCUGAUAUUCGCUAACUUCUGGAUGCAGAUGAAGCUGUACUGUGUGUCACUCAAAAGAGGUGGGCAGCUCUAAUGGAAUUUGCCAAAAUCAAGAAGGAGGAGAAAGCCAUGCCCUUCACAGUAAAGCCAACGCCACUGUCUCCUCUCCCUCCUUUCCCUAGUGGAGGCUUAGAUGCUCAAUUCCAUUCCGAAGAGCUGCUUCCUCUAUCGCACCAUCACCCCGGAGAAUAAGGAACACAAACGAGAGAAGGGCAAAGGAGGGAAAAGAUUUGGAGCCCUGCUUGUAAGAUCAUGUACCCACUCUUUACCUGAUGAAAAGGCAACCUCCACCCCACCCCCACUACUACCGCCACACACACACACACACACACACACACACACACACACACACACACACACACACACACCCUUCUGCUUUUCUCCCUGCCUUGGAACUUUCCAAAAUGUUGAAGAGAGACGUCAGUGCUGGAGGGUCAUUGACAAUCUGAGGUGCCAGUUACUCGACUUCCCUGCCGUCCUCCCCCGUCUCUGUUCUUCACAUCACCUAUUUAAGGAACUGUAUUCAAGGCUGGAGAGAUGACUCAGUGGAUAAUGUACUUUCCAUGUAAGUGUGAAGAUCUGCGUCUGGACCUCCAGCCCCCGCAUAAAGAAGCCAGGCAUGUAGACAGGAGGAGCCUCCAGCUCACUGGCUAGCCAGCUGAGCCAACUGUGUAUCAGGAGAGUGACUCAUCCCAUGGAAAGGCUCAAGGAGAACCAAGGAGGAAGGCAGAGGAGCAAGCUCCAUUUAAUAAACUCCUGAAGAGCACUUACUAUGUCUGGCAUCAUAAGGCCAGAGUCUCCAAAGAGUUUGCUAUCCUGUGGACAGUAUCAAGCAGAUACAGAAAUAUAUGUAAAUUAUGGCAUGUGGCAUAAGUGUCUUAGAAAACAUGGUUAGAGUGUGGUACAGUGAGUGGAUCAGGAUUUAGAAGUUUCCUGGAGGGAAUGGGGCAUUGGAGACAGAUGUUAGCCAGGCUUAGGAUGACUGGCCCAGAUCCCAGCUUUGGUCUCUCUGGAACAAUCAGUACUCCCCUACCAUGAUUUGACUAUAUCUUUCAGAAGUCCUGUGUUGGGAGCUUGGAAAUCAGGUAGUGCUAAGAGGCGCAGGUACCUUUAAGAGAAAGAAGAACCACCCUGGGGCUCAACUAUACUACUCCCGAGUGCAGUCCCAAGGACUGAAUAUGCUACCACAGGGACACCAUGUUCAUUUUUGCUCUACACAAAGCAGCUAAGCAAUGGGAUCAGCCUCGAUGUCUACCUUCAGAGGCACAGAUAGGGAAUUGUAUUCAGCCAUAAAGAAAAAAACGAGUCCAUGACAUAUGGAAGGGAAUGGAUGAAAAUGGAAAUAUUUAUGUCAAACCAAAUAAGCAACAUGUUUUCUUUCAUUUGUGGCCCCCAGAUUUUCAUUUUUGUAUGUCAUCAGAGAAAAUUUAAAGAGCUUAAGCUUGGGAUGUAGAGCUGGCUCAGUGUUUGAGAGUGCUUGCUGCUUUUGCAAAAGACCUGAGCUGAAUUCCCAAGAGCCACCUGUAACUCCAGUUCCAAAGGAGCCAAUGCCAGAAGUGAGCAAGCAUGUGCAUGCAUGAAUGCCCACGUGCAUACACAUGCAGGCAGGUAUAAUUUUUA